GGAGUGGGAUCUGAACAUGGCGGCGGUGGUAGCUGCUACGGCGCUGAAGGGCCGGGGGGCGAGAAAUGCCCGCGUCCUCCGGGGUAAGGAGAGGGACCCCGGGGAGGGCAGGACUGCAGAAGAUCCCUUUUCUUUCACAUCCAACCCGACGAUAGCAGGAGGUCAGGGCUCUUGGUUCCUGCCCACACUUUUCUGCAAGAUCUUAGAGUCUGGGGGUGCAGAGAUGCUCUUUAGAGGUCACCCAGUGCAUCCCCCCGCCUUCGGGUUGCUCGACACCUCCGGGGUCUUGCUGCAAGAGGGAGCUCCUAGGAAGCCUGUUAGACUCCCGCGCUCCAGGUGUUUCACACUCACCGCAGUGCAGAGGAAAGAGCCCCGGGCUUCUGGAGGCUUGGGUUCCAACCCCGGAUAAUUAGCAGUUUGACCUUGGGCAAAGCAGUUUUUCUCUCAGGGCUUCGGUAUCCUCUUCCAUACAGUGCAAGGGAUGGAGUAGACUAUCUUUAAGGUCCCUUCCAGUGCUAACAUUCGCAGUUUCAAAACCUUUUCCCGGAUUUCCUUCAUACGUCUCAUGUGAGUCCCACUGCAGUCCUUCCCAUGCUGUCGUCUGAGGAAGAACAGCGAAGCUUUUCGUCCUGGCACCAGGGUGAUGAGCCCGCAGUGACGUGGAAGUGGCUUCCAAAGGUGCCACCUCGGUGGCGAUUUUCUCAUUUCCCUUUGGAUUCUCCUUGGCACUUGUUAUUUCAGACUGCAGUCACUCCCCUUCCCCAGAUCUCAGCCGCUCCUCCCAAGCCCUUACUGCCCCCCACCUCCCCGCUUGCUUUCUUCUCAUCUCUUCUUACUGACCUUCCUUACCUCCAUCCACAGGGAUUCUCGCAGGAGCCACAGCUAACAAGGCUUCUCAUAACAGGACCCGGGCCCUGCAAAGCCACAGCUCCCCAGAGGGCAAGGAGGAACCUGAACCCCUAUCCCCGGAGCUGGAAUACAUUCCCAGAAAGAGGGGCAAGAACCCCAUGAAAGCUGUGGGACUGGCCUGGGCCAUCGGCUUCCCUUGUGGUAUCCUCCUCUUCAUCCUCACCAAGCGGGAAGUGGACAAGGACCGUGUGAAGCAGAUGAAGGCUCGGCAGAACAUGCGGUUGUCCAACACGGGCGAGUAUGAGAGCCAGAGGUUCAGGGCUUCCUCCCAGCGUGCCUCGUCCCCUGAUGUUGGGUCUGGGGUGCAGACCUGAGGAGCGCUGCGACCCUCCUAGGCUAUUGACUGUUAAGUCCUCAGGUUUGGCCCGGAUUCCAGUUCGUGCCUCUGAGGUCCACCAGAGGGCGCAUGAAGCCCAGGCUGUUGCCAAACCCUACCCCGCCCCACACCAAGGAGCCAGCCAAA
rnacentral:sRNA from 1 species